rnacentral:rRNA from 1 species
AGAGUUUGAUCAUGGCUCAGGAUAAACGCUGGCGGCGCACAUAAGACAUGCAAGUCGAACGGACUUAAUCGAUUCUUUUAGAUUCGAAGCGGUUAGUGGCGGACUGGUGAGUAACACGUAAGCAACCUGCCUAUUAGAGGGGAAUAACAGUGAGAAAUCACUGCUAAAACCGCAUAUGCCGUGAACAUCGCAUGAUGAAAACGGGAAAAGAGCAAUCUGCUAAUAGAUGGGCUUGCGUCUGAUUAGCUAGUUGGUGUGGUAAAGGCAUACCAAGGCAACGAUCAGUAGCCGGACUGAGAGGUUGAACAGCCACAUUGGGACUGAGAUACGGCCCAGACUCCUACGGGAGGCAGCAGUCGGGAAUAUUGCGCAAUGGAGGAAACUCUGACGCAGUGACGCCGCGUAUGGGAAGAAGGUUUUCGGAUUGUAAACCAUUUUAGACAAGGAAGAAACAAGACAGUACUUGUAGAAUAAGCUCCGG